GAUUGGCAGGACAAAGAGAAGUAUAAGGAGUGAGAUUGUGACCUGAGGAUGUUCGAAAACGGCUCAUCCCUCCCUGGGAAGGAAGUACAAGUGCUGAAUGUGGAGAGGCAAAUAAAAUGGACACACAAGCCUUGACCUCUUGGAGUGAUUAUGAUCAAGAUUAUGAUCAUUGUGACACACAUUAAUCCAGGAAGCAAACAAGUAA
rnacentral:lncRNA from 10 species